rnacentral:tRNA from 1 species
GGGGCUAUAGCUCAGUUGGUAGAGCGCUUGCAUGGGAAUCAAGAGGUCAGGAGUUCAAUUCUCCUUAGCUCCA